rnacentral:lncRNA from 1 species
UGUGAAGGCGCUCUGUGGCUGUUCAGGUUGUUGAACUACUUCGAAACAGAACUAAGGCACACUGAUCCUGACAAGGCUCCAUCUACGUGCAGGUUUCUCAAACAAGGUUUGGGAUCUGCCAGAAAGGAAACAACCUAUCUUCUUUGAAAUCUCAUCUGAAAAUUUAUCCCUUAUCUGUCAUGUCGCGGCACUUCUCCACGCGGCGCUUGAGUCCUUUGCCGGGGCCUCAUGUCCCGGCAAGCAGGAGACUAUAUUCUUCCGGCAACUUCCCCUCCGGCAAAGUACAUGCCGACAGUUCUCGACUGUUGUAUAGAAGGGGGUUGCCGGAGCAUGAC